rnacentral:rRNA from 1 species
GCUCAGAUUGAACGCUGGCGGCAGGCCUAACACAUGCAAGUCGAACGGUAACAGGAAGCAGCUUGCUGCUUUGCUGACGAGUGGCGGACGGGUGAGUAAUGUCUGGGAAACUGCCCGAUGGAGGGGGAUAACUACUGGAAACGGUAGCUAAUACCGCAUAAUGUCGCAAGACCAAAGAGGGGGACCUUCGGGCCUCUUGCCAUCGGAUGUGCCCAGAUGGGAUUAGCUUGUUGGUGAGGUAACGGCUCACCAAGGCGACGAUCCCUAGCUGGUCUGAGAGGAUGACCAGCCACACUGGAACUGAGACACGGUCCAGACUCCUACGGGAGGCAGCAGUGGGGAAUAUUGCACAAUGGGCGCAAGCCUGAUGCAGCCAUGCCGCGUGUAUGAAGAAGGCCUUCGGGUUGUAAAGUACUUUCAGCGGGGAGGAAGGGGUUAAGGUUAAUAACCUUAGCCAUUGACGUUACCCGCAGAAGAAGCACCGGCUAACUCCGUGCCAGCAGCCGCGGUAAUACGGAGGGUGCAAGCGUUAAUCGGAAUUACUGGGCGUAAAGCGCACGCAGGCGGUCUGUCAAGUCGGAUGUGAAAUCCCCGGGCUCAACCUGGGAACUGCAUUCGAAACUGGCAGGCUUGAGUCUCGUAGAGGGGGGUAGAAUUCCAGGUGUAGCGGUGAAAUGCGUAGAGAUCUGGAGGAAUACCGGUGGCGAAGGCGGCCCCCUGGACGAAGACUGACGCUCAGUGCGAAAGCGUGGGGAGCAAACAGGAUAGUCUC